UUUCCUAUAAUUAAAAAUUGGUCAUUACAAAAUAUGAUGAAAAAAUUGAUUCUAGUAAUUGCCACAACUUUGACCGUGUUGAAAAUUAAUGAAAUAAUGAAUUCCUGUUUGUUUAUAUUUUAUCUACUUAAUUGCUUCUUUUUUUUUGAUACGUAGGGAAUGUGUUUGAGCCAAUGAUUGCGACGAAAAUGUCAAAAACAUUGUUCAAGAAAUCAAAAUUGAGGAACUAUUCUGCUGUUUUCCGGUGGUUUGGAUAAGAGUAAUGAAAAGAUUUUUAGACCGAUUUUUGGAAAGGUGAAUUUCAGUAAUUUAGACCAAGUAAUUUUGUUUUUCAAAAUUCUUAAUAUGAAUGGUAAUUCAAUAUAUAUUUAUGAUUAAGUAUUGGUUCUAUAUAUUGCUUGGUUUCUCUUGUUAAAUGAAAUUAUAUACAGAGGCGGAACUAGGGGGGACGGGGGGUCAUCUGCCUCCGGUAGCGACGGCGGUCCAGGCAUAACUAGGGGCUGGGGCUGGGGCUGGGAUUGGGGCGUGGGCGGGCGGCGGGCGGCGGGCGGCGGGGGCGGUGGGGGGGGGGGGGCGCCAG
rnacentral:lncRNA from 1 species